GACGAACGCUGGCGGCGUGCCUAAUACAUGCAAGUCGAGCGGAGUUGUCCCAUGGAAGCCUUCGGGCGGAAGCGGGACCGACUUAGCGGCGGACGGGUGAGUAACACGUAGCCAACCUGCCCUGAAGUCUGGGAUAACGUACGGAAACGUGCGCUAAUACCGGAUACGCGUCUUCAUCGCAUGGGGGAGACGGGAAAGGCGGAGCAAUCUGCCGCUUGAGGAUGGGCUUGCGGCGCAUUAGCUAGUUGGUGGGGUAACGGCUCACCAAGGCGACGAUGCGUAGCCGACCUGAGAGGGUGGACGGCCACACUGGGACUGAGACACGGCCCAGACUCCUACGGGAGGCAGCAGUAGGGAAUCUUCGGCAAUGGGCGAAAGCCUGACCGAGCGACGCCGCGUGGGGGAUGAAGGUCUUCGGAUCGUAAACCCCUGUCCUUGGGGACGAAGCUGACGGUACCCAAGGAGGAAGCCCCGGCUAACCACGUG
rnacentral:rRNA from 1 species